CAGUAGCCGCGGUAAUACGAAGGGGGUUAGCGUUGCUCGGAAUGACUGGGCGUAAAGGGCGCGUAGGCGGAUUGUUUAGUUAGGCGUGAAAUUCCUGGGCUUAACCUGGGGACUGCGUUUAAUACAGGCAGUCUAGAGUGAGGAAGAGGGUUGUGGAAUUCCCAGUGUAGAGGUGAAAUUCGUAGAUAUUGGGAAGAACACCGGUGGCGAAGGCGGCAACCUGGUCCUUGACUGACGCUGAGGCGCGAAAGCGUGGGGAGCAAACAGGAUUAGAUACCCCCGUAGUCCCUGUCUCUUAUAC
rnacentral:rRNA from 1 species